GAUGAAGAACGCAGCGAAAUGCGAUAAGUAAUGUGAAUUGCAGAAUUCAGUGAAUCAUCGAAUCUUUGAACGCACAUUGCGCCCGCCAGUAUUCUGGCGGGCAUGCCUGUCUGAGCGUCAUUUCAACCCUCAUGCCCCUAGGGCGUGGUGUUGGGGAUCGGCCAAAGCCCGCAAGGGACGGCCGGCCCCUAAAUCUAGUGGCGGACCCGUCGUGGCCUCCCCUGCGAAGUAGUGAUAUUCCGCAUAGGAGAAGCGACGAGCCCCUGCCGUUAAACCCCCAACUUUCUCAGGUUGACCUCAGAUCAGGUAGGGAUACCCGCUGAACUUAAGCAUAUCAAUAAGCGGAGGA
rnacentral:misc_RNA from 1 species